rnacentral:lncRNA from 1 species
GCUGACUUCCAGCAUUUUAAUCUAACCCAGCUCAGAGCAGGUGAGAAGCUGGCUGAAUGCAUCUCAUUGAGAUGAUUUUGGGGAUGACAGGAUUGUUCAUAAAUUGAUUAUACAAAGAUCUUCCUUGAAUUUAGUCAGAACAAGCAGUUUUCAUAUUACCGGUUGCAAGCCUAACAGCAUUCCCUGAAAAAACACUCUAUUUUUUGGUUGCUGGUUUGCCAUGGUAGAGCGGAGAGGCCUUUCUACAUAGAUGAUGUUCCUAGUGUUUGCCAUCCCAUGAAGCCACUGUUAUUUUUGAAAAUUCUUAACCUA